GAUAAAGAGAGCAAAAGUGAAGGAAAAACUAAAGAAAAAAACCCAGCUGAAGUUCAGCAGUAUCCUCAGAGUCUAAUGUCCCCUGGGAGGAUCUGAACUGCACAAUUUCUAACGCUCUACACAAGCAAUAAUCUUCAGGGUCCCAGAUGCCUUACCAAGAGUUUUGAAAAGAAAGGCUGCCAUGUUCUUUGCUGUGACAGCUGUACUGAAGCUGAUUGAGCUGUCUCUGGGACUUCUCCUUGGAUUGAA
rnacentral:lncRNA from 1 species